rnacentral:rRNA from 1 species
UUAUUUAAAGGAAAGAACCUUCCCUGGUUUUGCCUUCCACGGAACCAUGCAGAGAGGUGGGGGUGCCUUAAGGAACCGGGACACAGGGGCCGCAUGGCUGUUGUCAUCUUGUGUUGUGAGAUUUUGGGUUAAGUCCCCCAAAGAGCGCAACCCUUUUCCUUAUUUCCCCUCGUUUAGGUGGGGCAUUUUAGGGAGACUCCCGGGGCAAAACGGGAGGAAGGGGGGGAGGAGUCCAAUUCUUCAUGCCCUUUAGGCCCGGGGUUCCCCCCGUCUUCCAAUGGCGGUUCCAAAGGGUGGCAAACCCGGAAGGGGGAGCAAAUCCCAAAAACCCGUUCUCAUUUCGGAUGGAAUUUUGCAAUUGGCUUCCUGGAAUCCGGAUUCGUUAGUAUUCGCGUUCC